rnacentral:rRNA from 1 species
GAGUUUGAUCAUGGCUCAGGAUGAACGCUGGCGGUCUGCUUAACACAUGCAAGUCGAACGGAGUGCUUCGGCACUUAGUGGCGGACGGGUGAGUAACGCGUGAGAAUCUGCCCUUAGGAGGGGGAUAACGACUGGAAACGGUCGCUAAUACCCCAUAUGCCGAGAGGUGAAAUGAUUUAUUGCCUGAGGAUGAGCUCGCGUCCGAUUAGCUAGUUGGUAGAGUAAGAGCCUACCAAGGCGACGAUCGGUAGCUGGUCUGAGAGGAUGAUCAGCCACACUGGGACUGAGACACGGCCCAGACUCCUACGGGAGGCAGCAGUGGGGAAUUUUCCGCAAUGGGCGCAAGCCUGACGGAGCAAGACCGCGUGAGGGAAGAAGGUCUGUGGAUUGUAAACCUCUUUUGAUAGGGAAGAAGAACUGACGGUACCUAUCGAAUCAGCCUCGGCUAACUCCGUGCCAGCAGCCGCGGUAAUACGGAGG